AGUAACCUGAGCCGGGGGAGUGAAGAAGCCACUCAGAAGGCAGAGAGCUUGCUCGGAGGUGAUCCUUUAACCAAAAUCGGGGUUAAUGUUUUCCCGCAGGCAAGUGGUAGCAGAUGUCAAGGGUUAAGGACACUUUAAGAGUUUCCAGGCUGCCCUUGUGUCAGGUGCCUCGGGCGAUGAGUCCAGGAGCCCGCUCUCCACGCAGUGACGCUGCCCACGCUGGUGCCUUAGGGCCCCUCACUUGCCUGGGCUGCUCCAAGGCCUGGUCCCUGAUGGCUUCUGACAAUUUGGUAUCCUUCGUAAAGAGGACCUCAGACCCCAUCAGCUUCAGUUUCACAAAACCUGGAUCCCCUGCCUCUGUGGUAUGUCUGGACUGCCCUGGGCAGGCAGGGCCUGGCUCUGAGGUUAAGAUUUCUCAGCACUGAAGGACUGCCUGCCUUUGAGCUGUGAAACUAGUCCGUCCUCACAUAGACACCAAUAAACUGAGGCUUGAGAGGCUCAGGGACACCCUGGAGGCCACAAGGGGUAGAACUCACUCCCCUGCUUCCAUCCCUGUCUUGCAUUCACUGCUGUGGCUCCCAGAAGCAGAGGGGUCCUGCUUUGGAGUUGUGUGUGUGUGU